AUGGGCGAUCUGAGAGUCAAGGAUUGGGUGUAGAGAGACCAGACAAUUUAAACGAGGAUGACGACGAAUACGAUGCAUAUCGUAAACGCAUGAUGUUAGCAUAUCGAUUCCGGCCAAAUCCUUUGAAUAAUCCCCGUCGUGCAUAUUACUGAUGUCAGCAGGUUCUAGUUUACGGUACCAUGAAAAUUAUAAUUUCCGAUGGCAACUGCGGGCAUUUAAUGAUGAUUGUUGGUUUAAGUGUUAAUGUAUCCAGUGUGAUGUUACUGAUAAGAGCAACAUUAUGACCAUGUCAAUAGUUAGCACAGUCUGUUAGCAUAUUUUUGGAUUUAUGCAAUAGUUAUGGUUUGAAAAGGAUUUCUCAGCUUAAAACAAGCUUUUAACAUGUGGAAGGCAAUCUGUGGGAUGUAUGUGCUAACAAUUCCUCAUGAUAUAUAAUAACUACUUUGCUAUUUCUGGACAGAAAAUUUAGCUCUGUAAACUGUGCAUGAUUUUAUUAUGACCAGCAAAAGUCAUCCUAUAAUUUUAUUCUGAUUUUUUUCUUUUCUUUUGUUUUUUUUUUUUUUACAUAUUAAUGCUCAAACCUUGAUGUCUGACAUUAUAUAUAUAGGAAUUUUAGUGUUUACAGAUAUGUAUGAAUUAUAAAACAGUGUGGAUGAGUUUUGUCUUUUUGUUUGUUUUUUUCCCCCCCUUUAUUUAUUUUAUGCAAGUUUAUUUCUGCAAUAUAAAUGCUGUCCUGCAAAGGCACACCCAUGUUUUACGAGGAGGUACAUGGACAGGACAUUUUUAUUAUUUUAUUUCUUUAUUGAUUACUAUCACUUAUGCUGUGAUUGCUACUAUUACUGGGUUGUUGUUUUUUUAAUUUGGUGAUAUUGGUAUUUUGCUUAGUUACUUAGUUAACAGGAACGAAAAAGACGUGUUAUCAGCAAUGAAAAGGGAGCAUAUACCGUUAAGGGAAAAUUAUACCGUCACAAGGGAAAGCUAACAACUGCAGACUGAAUAUUAGCAUUUGGUAGACUGAAACCGCAUCCACAUGAUAAAUAUGUUCUUUUCAAUGCAGCCCACUGGUAGGUCAUGAUGCUUCAUUUUAUUUUGUGAUAUGAUCCACUAGUGGGUCGGAAUUAGAAAUUCAUAACUUUUUUUUUAUGCUUUUUCAAUUUUAUGUGGCUUAGAUGAUGGUUUAUGGAUGUUCAAGUAUUUAGUCAAGACAGAUAUGAUUAUGUAACUAAUUUUAUAUAAAAACAAUGAAAGCUAAUUUACUAUAGAGACCAUCAUUAUUUUUUAAGAAGUUGUCGAAAGUAUACGUAUUUAUGAUAGAAAUAACUGUUUUCUUUUUAAAACUUUUAUCUAUAUAGACAAUUCCAUGAACAUAUCAAUGUGUUCCAAAUAUUCUGAAAAACAGUGAAUACAGCUCAUUUAUACUUACCCUUGCCUCGUAAACCACCCUGCUAGAUAAUUUUCAUACGUUUUUCCUUAUUUUUUGUAAAUAGAAAACCUUGCAUGUAGCUAGAAUUUAAUGGUUUUUCAUGACCCUCUAAAUAGAAUCACUCACUGUAUGAUCUCUGAUGGGUCUUAUCAUAGACAUUUUUUGUUCUCUAAAAUGCAGCUCAACCCACCAGUGUACACAUGUUUUAUGUAUUCAAAAGACUCUUCAAAACAUCCAACAUCCAAGUACCUCUUCAAAUAUCAGCCAAGGAAUGUUUCUUUCCUUUCGCAUGAGGGGGGGGAGCGAGUCAGUAUCAUUGCCAAUGACACGGAACAUGCUAAGUAGCGCUCACCAGGCUUUGUUGGGAAUUUUGCUGUGUGGACGUUUAUUAAAUAUUAAUAAACUAAUAAACUAAUCAAAGCCAGACUAGAGUGAAAAGAGAUGUGUGUUCUGAUAACCA